ACUAGGUAUGGUGGCCCACACCUGUAGUCCCAGCUACUUGGGAGGCUGAGGCAGGAGGACCCCUUGAGCCCAGGAGUUCUGGGCUGUAGUGCUCUCUGCCGACUGGGUGUCUGCACUAAGUUCAGCAUCCAUAUGGUGACCUCUGGGAGUGAGAGACCUCUGGGUUGCCUAAGGAGGGGCGAACCGGCCCAGGUCAGAAACAGAGCAGGUCAAAACUCCCAUGCUGAUCAGUGGUGGGAUUACACCUGUGAAUAGCCCCUCCACUCCAGCCUGGGCAACAUAGCCAGACCCCAUCUU
rnacentral:SRP_RNA from 1 species